UACGUAGGGGGGCAAGCGUUGUCCGGAUUUAUUGGGCGUAAAGAGCGUGUAGGCGGCCAGGUAGGUCCGUUGUGAAAACUCGAGGCUCAACCUCGAGACGUCGGCGGAAACCCUCUGGCUAGAGUCCGGAAGAGGAGAGUGGAAUUCCUGGUGUAGCGGUGAAAUGCGCAGAUAUCAGGAAGAACACCCGUGGCGAAGGCGGCUCCCUGGGACGGUACUGACGCUGAGACGCGAAAGCGUGGGGAGCAAACAGG
rnacentral:rRNA from 1 species